rnacentral:lncRNA from 10 species
GUAGAGACGGGGUUUCGCCAUGUUGGCCAGGCUGAUCUCGAACUCCUGACCUCAAGUGAUCUGCCUGCCUCGGCCCCCCAAAGUGCUGAGAUUACAGACGUGAGCCACCACACCGGCCAAGAGUGUACUCCUAAAGGAAGAUCCUACUACCUUUACUCUUUCAGGUGCUCCCCCAAAAAGUUCACUUUGCAAAUCUUAACACAGAGUUUGUUUCUCUGGGGAGUCAAUAUAAGACAGUUGGCAUGAAGAAUUGUUUAGGGAAGAAAACCAUAAAACAAGAUGUUGGAGGUGGAGCACUGGGGAGAGAACACAUGCUGUAGCAGUGCAGUUGCUGAAAAACACCGAUGAGAGAGCAGUGAAAGACGACUCACUGAGUGAUUGCAGAAGAUCUCUCAGAAGAGGUGAUUUGAACAUAGACAUCACAAACAUGAAGAAGUGAGAACCAUGAAGGUAAUUUAGCAAAAGAUGAAGAAAUUAAAGCUCAGAGAGGUAUGACUUUGACCCAAGGUGACAUGGCCAGAGUGCAAUGCAACCAGGAUUAGAAUCCAAGAAGAUGACCCUAGCCUGUUACCUCCUGACAACUAAGACGAUGUGGUGCCUAGCACAUAUGGUGCAAUCAACAAAUGUCUGGUGAAUAUGGAUGAACGAAUGUAUGAAAUCCUUGAGAACAAUCAAGACUCAGAGAUGAUAUGUUAAGAAUUCUCGCCAAGAAGGAAAGCACAGCAAAGUACAUCAUUUGAAAAGAUUUUGAUGCUUCUGAUAACCUUUAGGAGGAGACCUCACAAUCCAAAUCUAUGUCCAGCAGAAGGAGUCUCUCCCCAUGGCCUCCCCAACCCCAGGCCCAUGGCAAGUGCUACCUGGCUACCACCAAUGACAAUUCGAAGCCCAAGAUUUCUUCAGUCUGCUUAUGGUUAACACUACCAGGCCUCGAACUCUCCCUUUAGGGCAGUGAUCGCCCCUCUGGCCUUGGGUUUUCCUGAAAAGUAUUUCUUCAAUUCAUGUGCAUAUAAGUCCUUGUCACAUCUCUUCUUCUAGAGAAUCCAGCCUUAGAUAUUUGGUAGCAGAAGUAAUCCUAAUAAGUAGACUGUAAAAAUGGAAUUCUGGAGUUGGAACACCCAGUAGUAUGUGAGAGUUAUGACUCCAUUACUGGUGGAAAGUGGAGCUGUAUGAAUGCAAUUGUAAAGGAUUUCAACUGUGGUAAACUUGUGUGAGAUAAAGCAGGAAAUAUACUGACUUGUGCAAUCUUUGUGGUAGUAAUAAGUAUGUGAGUGAUUAGAAUGAUUAGAAAUCCUAUGAAAUUGAGUUGCUUUGGGUGAGUAUAUUUGACGAUUUGAAGAAAGAAAAUAAUGGGCUUAGGCUUAUUAAUCACAAAUGUAAAGUAAAAUGUCAAUCAGACAGUGUACUUGGCAGAAUUUAAGGUGACAUUUAUCUACUAUAACUGGACAGUAGAAAGAAUAAAAGUUUGACUUCAGGAUUUUUUUUUUUGGUAAGAUUGGAAUAAAAGGUAGAAUUCUCAGCUUCAGCAUGUCUACAAUGACAAAUUUAUUCUUCUAAUAUAAAAUGAGUUAGACCCUGGUAAAGACUACUAAAGAACCUUGAAGUGAACCAAAGCUAUCCGGAACUCUUGGAGCUUGGAGAACUGGCCUAUUCUCCCUUGUUGGAAGAUGGACGUUCUCUUUUUUUGAAGAUUAUGUAGAAGCACCAUAGGGUCAGG